rnacentral:tRNA from 1 species
GCAUUUGUGCUGUACUGGUUAGGGGUAUCAGUUUGGUAAAUUGAAGACUCAGGUUGAAUUCCUGGCGAGCGCA